UUGUUUGCGGGUGUAGCAUCAUCAAGAUUCACAUGCAAAGGCAAGGUGGAACGAUGACAGUGAUGGAUCUAGACUAUGUGUUUAAAAAUAAAUUGACACAAAUAUAAAUAAUAAAAUUUAUUAACUCCAAAUCUUUGAACCGCCUGGACGAUGAUAUGAUAUGGCCAUGGUAUUUUCAAGGUGAGAAUCUUGAUGAUGCUGCAUCAGCAAUAAA
rfam:Nicotiana attenuata strain TT chromosome 7, whole genome shotgun sequence.